AGAUGAGGAUCUUGACAUCCCUGCUCUGUUUGACAAGGAAGAUGCUGGAAAUGUAGAGAAAACAGGAAGAUUGAUAAGUUAUGCAAAUUAUUAUCAAGGCCUGUGGGACUGUACUGGUAGCCACCCAGAUGAGCUUUCUUUCCAAAGAGGAGACUUAAUAUACAUUGUUAGCAAGGAAUAUAACAUGUAUGGCUGGUGGGUCGGAUUGCUGAACCGCACCGUGGGGAUUGUCCCCAAAGAAUAUCUUGUUCCUGCCUAUGAUGUGGAAUAAAGAUAAACACUAGGCAAUUGUGUUUCAUCUCUGGCCUGGGGAUACAACAGAACCACCUCCUCCUAGCACCCUCUUUGCUAUCAUUAGGAAAAAGUUAUCUACCAGCACACAAAAUGCAACUUCAGGCCUUUUUUUCACUGAGAUAUAUGAUACUUGAUAAUCCAUUUUACAUUUUGGCUAAAGUGCUUUAUGUUUGUUUGUUUGUUUGUUUGCUUAGCAGAAAACUGGAGGAAUGCUAUUUUGAUGGUAUUUCAAAUAAAA